UUUUGACAAUGGCGAAUAUAAGUGUAUUUCUUCAUUUUGUGGUUGCAUUGAUGUUCCUUACAAUUCUCUUCUUUCGGAAGUGACUGCGAGAACCAUACGGGGGCCACCUCACAUUCCCCUGGGAUUUUCUGAUAUAGAUACACUGCUCAGCUUUGUCAAUUCUGAAGGAAAGUAAACCUCGAUUAUCAUCAUACAUCUUCAAUGUUCUUGUAAUAUUCUGAAUCUUAUAACUGGUAGUGUCUGUGAAUAUUGUAAUUACUGGCAUCAAAUACUAAAUACAAAAAAUAUUCUCGCAUACUUAAUAAUAUUCUCCUUAUUUUUGAUUUAUAGUCAGUAUUUUUGUCAAGUUCUACAAAGUUACAAAAAAAUCGAUAAGAUGACAAGUUGUUUUGCCUUUAAUUCUAG